UACGGGAGGCAGCAGUGGGGAAUAUUGCACAAUGGGCGCAAGCCUGAUGCAGCCAUGCCGCGUGUAUGAAGAAGGCCUUCGGGUUGUAAAGUACUUUCAGUCGUGAGGAAGGUGUUAAGGUUAAUAACCUUAGCAAUUGACGUUAGCGACAGAAGAAGCACCGGCUAACUCCGUGCCAGCAGCCGCGGUAAUACGGAGGGUGCGAGCGUUAAUCGGAAUUACUGGGCGUAAAGGGCACGCAGGCGGUUAAUUAAGUUGGAUGUGAAAUCCCCGGGCUUAACCUGGGAAUGGCAUUCAAGACUGGUUAGCUAGAGUCUUGUAGAGGGGGUAGAAUUCCAUGUGUAGCGGUGAAAUGCGUAGAGAUGUGGAGGAAUACCGGUGCGAAGGCGGCCCCUGGGACAAAGGACUGACGCUCAUGUGCGAAAGCGUGGGGAGCAAACAGGGAUUAGAUACC
rnacentral:rRNA from 1 species